UACGGGGGGGGCAAGCGUUGUUCGGAAUUACUGGGCGUAAAGCGUGCGCAGGCGGUGAGCUGUGUCCGAUGUGAAAGCCCCGGGCUUAACCUGGGAAUGGCAUUGGAAACUGGCUCGCUGGAGUGUGGCAGAGGGGGGUGGAAUUCCGCGUGUAGCAGUGAAAUGCGUAGAGAUGUGGAGGAACACCGAUGGCGAAGGCAGCCCCCUGGGCCGACACUGACGCUCAUGCACGAAAGCGUGGGGAGCAAACAGG
rnacentral:rRNA from 1 species